CGGAUUAGUGGCGAACGGGUGAGGAACACGUGAGAAACCUGCCUCGGAUUUUGGGAUAACAGUUGGAAACGGCUGCUAAUACCGGAUGCCUUCAUUUGACCGCAUGGUUGUUUGAAGAAAGAUUUAUCGGUUUGGGAGGGUCUCGCGGCCUAUCAGCUUGUUGGUGGGGUAAUGGCCUACCAAGGCGACGACGGGUAGCCGGCCUGAGAGGGCGACCGGCCACACUGGGACUGAGACACGGCCCAGACUCC
rnacentral:rRNA from 1 species